GUGGCCCAACAGAUGCUGUCCUGGGCUGAGGCCAUGUUCUCAUGGGCACUGAAGAGGCUCUGCAAACCCGUGUUGGACCUGUAUGGCCUCAUAGCCAGACCAUGCCCUGGCAGCCGGGGCCCAGCACGUGGUGACUUUUGAUGGCCGAGUGUGAGACCUCAGCGUUCAGUGCGGCAGCAUCCUCCUGGCCCAACACUUCGCUCACAACACAUUCUCACUCAUGCUGAGUCGGACAGGCUUGGGGCUCAUGGCCCUGACAGUGGUGCUUAACCAUGUGACCCUCAUCUUCUACUCCAGCCUGCAGGAUAGCUGUCCAGACCUCCAGCUGCCUUUUGCCAUGAAAAGGAGGGAUGUCCCCAGGAUUGAGCUGGCCAGUGAGGACGAAGUCUCCAUCUCCUGUUACGUGCCCACCGGCCUCUUCAGCCUGACUUUGUGCCUCUGGCACCAUGGCAUAUCCACAGGUCUUCUGGACACCAUGGAUAAUGAAGCAGGCACUGAUCUGAUGUUGCCGGAUGGCUCUGUGGCCCACAGCCUGGAGGAGCUCAGCCUGGCCUGGCAGGUGAGCAGGUGCACCUGUCCUUCUUCCCUCUGGCUGAGUCUCUUGAGGGCUGCUCACUGCAGAGUCCCAGGAGAAGCAGGUGGCCUGCUGGCUCUGCAGAGAUCUUUGCAGACCCAGGUUUGGGGGGAGUCUCCUGCUGAGGCCGAUGUACGUGGGGGAGCAACAUGGUCCAGCAGGAGGCCUGAGCCUUGCAUCUGUCCCACCAGGUGGAUGGUGACUGCAGGGCCACCGAGAAGACUCAGCCAACCUGCCCAGGACAGAGCCCCGCCUGUCGGGACUUCUUCCAGGAUCCCCCUCUAGCUUGGGGAACUGCAUCUGGGUG
rnacentral:lncRNA from 13 species